CAGCAUUUACUUUGGUAUUCCUGAUGUGUGUCCUAGUAAAUCACUAUUUCCUAAGAGGCAAUUAUCCUGUUGGGGUGCUGGGCAACAAUUCUUCCAUCUACACAUUCAAGUGGUGUUCUCAUGUUUGGGUUCAUACACCUCAAUAAAAUUUUAACUACACAGAUUUAGGGUUUCUGUAGUAUGUAGUUCUGCAUAUAGUAAUAAUUAUUCCUAAUGUUGCUUUAUCAAUGAAAUACUUAAUUUUCAUUGUUUAUAACUCUGCUAAAUUAAAAAAAUGUCAAAUUAUGUUUUCAUUUCAGCUGUUUCUCCUGCUAACCCUACAUCAAGGGACUUUACUUUAGAUUUAACUGUCUGAAGAUUAAUUUGCACAGAUUUGGUCACACAAAAGAAAUACCUCACCUGUUUUACUGUAGCUGUCUCUCCUAAUUUCCAGGGGCUCCUUUGGCAACAAAACCAAAAGAAGGAAGAAUCUCCUGUAAUGUUAAUUAAUCUUUAGCCUACUGGUGUCUGAUGAACACAUGGGAAAGAACAGCUGGUCUCAGUGCAAGAUACAUGGGCUUAGUGAUGAGGAAAAGGUAACAGAGAAGAUGAAUUUCCAGGACUGGAAAAUAGGACAGCAAAGAAUGGAUUUGGAGCAUGAAAAGAUGGAGGAUUAUGGCCAGACAUUGGAGAGAGGUCUGUGCAAAGGAGCUACAGUAGGUGGUGUCAGCCUACGCCUGUGAAAAUCUCAGAGGUAAAUUUGCAGAGAAGUAAAUUCUUAAAGUCAGCUCAGGAUGCAGACAGAAAAAAGCUGGAGAGACUGAUAAUUUUGCUACCUUAACAGACAUUCAAAUAAAAACUGUAAAAAGUGUAAACUAAUUUUGAAA
rnacentral:lncRNA from 1 species